CAAGGUGGCUGGGACCAUUGCACAGCCAAUAAACAAUGUUGUGAUUUUGGCCUUAGCCCUGAUCAUAAGCUUCAGACUGAGAAGAUACAGGUACCCUCUUCAAUCACAUCUAUUUCAUGGCAGUCUCGUGCAUACUAGGCGCUGCUACCUGUUAGAUUCACAUUCAUUCAUACGUCGGGAUGGCAGCACUUGUUUACAUCAUAUGAAGAAGAACCUUCUGUGGGAAACCUGCAUAGGUUGUGUGGGCUUUUGCGUUGUGGCCAGGCUGUCGUCUAGAUCCUGAUCACUUCUACUGGGUUGUGCAAGUGCUGCUGGCCAGAUGUGACUUCAACGGCCAUUCUUUCUUCAAGAACAAAGGACUUGCUCCUGUAGCUUGAACUGUAGGUUUGAAAAACAUCCCAAUUCCCGUCAGGAUCGUCUUGUGUGGCCACUCAAUUGUGUUUUGGGCUCACCGGAGGGCAUCCUUGUCUGUUCAUGGAACACAGUUGCAGCUUUCUGCCACAGCUACAGUUCAGUGGGAAGCCCGGAGGGGCAUGUUAUGGGAUGCGUUGUUGCCUGCUGUGUGCCGGAUCAUGUCAUUGACUGACAAGCCGCACAUAUUAUUAAUUCAUUUUGGGGGAAAUGAUUUGGUGCAGCGUCCAGGGUUGGAUUUGCUGCUAAAAGUUACCCGGGAUCUCAUGUGGCUUAUCAGAUCAUAUCCCAAUCUUAUACUUGUAUGGUCUGAAAUGCUUGUUAGAAGGGUUUGGAGGGGUGCUGUUCACCCCAAUAAGAUAGAUAGAGCUAGGAA